GCUGUACUACCUUAACAACAUUACCUCCGCGGUCUUACCGAGAAAAAUGACUCCCUGGGAUCAGCAGAAGCUUCGGCCGCGGCCGUGUCGACCCGGAGCAGCGUCCCCCUGCUCUGUCGGGGAGCCAUGAGCAUGCCACUGCUGCGGCCUCCUCGUUCCAGCCUCAACGACGCAUCACCAGCAAGAUGUAUUUCAACCGGAGAGCCAAGAGGAUACACAGCGAGGGAGCCUCGCCUCUCUCCCAUCAAUCCAACGGUGCAGGACCUGCUUGCUCGUCCACCGGUUACCGCAAGGCAGAUGAUGAGAUGUCCGGGACCACUUCCCAGGCGGAUCCCGUAGACGCCACGGCGCGGACGGUGCUGCUCAACCGGCCACAGAUUACCAAGUUCUGUGACAACCACGUCAGUACCACCAAGUAUGGGGUCCUCACCUUUCUGCCUCGGUUCCUGUAUGAGCAGAUCAGGCGAGCUGCAAACGCCUUCUUCCUGUUCAUCGCACUCAUGCAGCAAAUCCCUGAUGUAUCACCGACCGGUCGCUACACCACACUGGUCCCGCUCAUCUUCAUCCUCACCGUGGCGGGAAUCAAAGAGAUCAUAGAGGACUACAAAAGACACAAAGCAGACAACACCGUGAACAAGAAGAAGACAACAGUGCUGCAGGGCGGAGCCUGGCAGACGAUCAUCUGGAAACAGGUGGCAGUAGGAGACAUAGUGAAGGUGACCAAUGGCCAACACCUUCCAGCUGACAUGGUUAUUGUGUCCUCCAGUGAGCCUCAGGCCAUGUGUUACACCGAGACCUCCAACCUGGAUGGAGAAACCAACCUGAAGAUCAGACAGGGUCUCUCGCUCACAGCGGGGGCUCAGACUCUGGAGGAUUUGGUGGCGCUGUCUGGCCGUUUGGAGUGUGAGGGUCCAAACAGACACCUGUAUGAUUUCACUGGCACACUGCGACUGGAGAACCAGAAUCCUGUUCCCUUGGGUCCGGACCAGGUGUUGCUGCGCGGCGCUCAGCUCAGGAACACACAGUGGGUUGCAGGAAUUGUUGUCUACACUGGCCACGACUCCAAACUGAUGCAGAACUCCACCAAGGCGCCUCUGAAGCGCUCUAACGUGGAGCGGGUGACCAACAUGCAGAUCCUAGUCUUGUUUGGCAUCCUGCUGGUCAUGGCCCUGGUCAGCUCUGUGGGUGCCGCCAUCUGGAACAGAGAACACACCGAAGACGCCUGCUGGUACCUGUCCCGGGCCGGCGACAUCUCCACUAACUUUGCUUACAACCUGCUGACGUUCAUCAUCCUGUACAACAACCUGAUCCCCAUCAGCCUGCUGGUCACUCUGGAGGUGGUCAAGUUCACACAGGCACUCUUCAUCAACUGGGACAUGGAGAUGUAUUACGCAGAGACCGACACGCCGGCCAUGGCUCGAACGUCCAAUCUUAACGAGGAGCUGGGCCAGGUGAAGUAUCUCUUCUCCGACAAGACGGGAACUCUGACCUGUAACGUCAUGCACUUCAAGAAGUGUACCAUUGCAGGAAUCACAUACGGCCACUUCCCCGAGCUUGACUGUGACCGUUCAAUGGAGGACUUUAGUAAUCUGCCGUCCAACAGCAAUAACUCGACAGAGUUCGACGACCCAACACUAGUCCAAAACAUAGAGAACCAUCCUACAUCACCGCAGAUCUGCGAGUUCCUCACCAUGAUGGCAGUGUGCCACACGGUGGUCCCAGAGAGAGAGGAAAACCAGAUCAUCUACCAGGCCUCUUCACCAGACGAAGGAGCGCUGGUCAAAGGUGCAAAAGGCCUCGGGUUUGUCUUCACCGCGAGAACACCGGACUCAGUCAUAAUCGAAGCUAGGGGGAAAGAGAUGAGCUAUGAGCUACUGAACGUUCUGGAGUUUUCCAGUAACCGCAAACGCAUGUCUGUGGUUGUGAGAACCCCCUGUGGGAAGCUACGCCUGUACUGCAAAGGAGCGGAUAAUGUCAUUUUUGAACGGCUGAUGGAGUCAUCCGAGUAUAAAGAAUUAACUGUUGCUCAUCUGGAACAAUUUGCUACUGAAGGCCUGAGGACUUUAUGUUUUGCCUAUGUGGACCUGGAGGAAGGCGCCUACCAGGAGUGGCUGAAGGAAUACAAUCGUGUCAGCACUGUGCUCAAAGACCGCGCUCAGAAACUAGAGGAGUGCUAUGAACUACUGGAAAAGAAUCUACUGCUGCUGGGCGCCACAGCCAUAGAGGACCGUCUGCAGGCCGGCGUGCCAGAGACCAUCGCCACUCUGAUGAGGGCGGACAUCAAGAUCUGGGUCCUCACUGGAGACAAGCAGGAGACCGCCAUCAACAUAGGUUACUCCUGUCGUCUGAUUUCACACGGCAUGUCCCUCAUCAUCGUCAACGAGGACUCUCUGGAUGCUACUCGCGCCACCUUGACAGCCCACUGUUCAUCUCUAGGCGACUCCCUCAGGAAGGAAAAUGAGCUGGCGCUGAUCAUCGAUGGUCAGACGCUGAAAUACGCGCUGUCCUUCGAGCUUCGCCAGGCCUUCCUGGACUUGGCGUUGUCAUGCAAAGCUGUCAUCUGCUGCCGAGUCUCUCCGCUGCAGAAGUCAGAGAUUGUGGAUAUGGUGAAGAAGCACGUCAAGGCCAUCACGCUGGCGAUAGGCGACGGUGCCAACGACGUGGGCAUGAUCCAGACGGCUCACGUCGGAGUCGGGAUCAGUGGCAACGAGGGCAUGCAGGCCACCAACUCCUCUGACUACUCCAUAGCACAGUUCUCCUACCUGGAGAAGCUCCUUCUGGUCCACGGGGCGUGGAGCUACAACCGUGUCACCAAGUGCAUCCUCUACUGUUUCUAUAAAAAUGUGGUCCUCUACAUUAUAGAGCUCUGGUUCGCCUUUGUCAACGGGUUCUCCGGCCAGAUCCUCUUUGAGCGCUGGUGUAUAGGCCUCUACAACGUUAUAUUUACUGCGCUGCCUCCGUUCACUCUGGGGAUAUUUGACCGGCCGUGCAGCCAGCAGAACAUGCUCCGAUUCCCCCAGCUCUACCGAAUUACCCAGAAUGCCGAGGGCUUCAACACCAGGGUGUUUUGGGGUCACUGUAUCAAUGCACUGAUUCAUUCAAUUAUUCUCUUCUGGUUUCCGCUCAAAAUGUUAGAUCAUGACUCUCCCUUCAACAACGGUCAGGGAAAUGACUACCUGUUUGUUGGAAACAUGGUGUACACAUAUGUGGUAGUUACAGUGUGUCUGAAAGCUGGAAUGGAGACCACCGCUUGGACCAGGUUUUCCCACCUGGCUGUUUGGGGAAGCAUCGCGCUCUGGAUGGUCUUCUUCGCUGUCUACUCCGCCAUCUGGCCCACCAUCCCCAUCGCCCCUGACAUGCUGGGCCAGGCUGGCAAGGUGAUGCAGUGCUGGCACUUCUGGCUGGGCCUGGUCCUGGUGCCUACUGCGUGUUUACUCAAAGACUUCGCUUGGACGGCCACACGUCGCACUGUGAGGAAGUCUCUCCUGGAGGAGGUGCAGGAGUUGGAGGCUCGGGCUGUCGACCCCGGGGCAGCUGUACUGAGGGAUGCCAGCGGCCGCAGAUGGAUCAAUUUGAACUGCUGUACUGACCUGUCUAAACGAACGGGCCCAUCUGCUGACAAGAGUCUUUAGGAAAACGCCUUCAAGCGUGGGCCGCUCCAACUCGGUGCAGCAGACUGUGUCACAUGGUUACGCCUUCUCUCAGGAGGAGCACGGCGUGGUCUCCCAAUCGCAGGUUGUGCGCUCCUACGACACCACCCGCCAACGCCCCAGCCUCUAGCCCCGCCCCUGACCAAGGCUUCGGCUCACCAACCAAUGGUUGUCAAGGCGACAGCGGAGAUAGACUCAUGUGAAACUCUCACACCGAGUGACUGACCCCUGCUGUGGCCUUACUUGGAACUAUGACCUGACCCCAAGCCAAGGGGAGGUAGGGGGGGGGGGGGGGGGGGGAGGGGUCACGGUCAGGCGUGGAGGCCGUCACUGGCGCACAGAGGACUGACUUGAGAGUAGGGACCAGGUCGACUUUACGGAUUAAACGUUCUUCAAACUCACACAAGUUGCAAAAGCAUGAGCAAUCAUAUCCACGCACAGACAUGAAAAGUCAAACUCAGAGACUGCUCCUCAUAUCAGUAUACUCCUCAGACUGGGUUUGCUUCAUGUCACUGUGUGUUUACGUGUGUGUGUGUGUGUGUGUGUGUGUGUGAGUGUGUGUAUGUGUGCGUGCAUUCCAGUGCGUCUGUAUCUGCCUGUGCAUGUAUGUCCGCACGCGUCGGCGCUCCUGUGUUUGUGUGCAUGUGUGUGUCUAACCCUGCGUGUUCCACAGCUCCCUCUCAUCUCUCUCGUGAGGUGGGUUUAGCUAAUCAGUCAUCACAUGCCGGGCGCGGGAGGGGAGGGGAUGUCAAAAUAAACACACGCACACAUGCACUGAUGAAUUAAGGCGGGACUUAAGCGAGCCAGACACUGAGGACUGCACCUCAGCUUCUACAGCCCCCAACUCUAUAUCCCAUCAUAGCACCGAGCCUCACUGCCAAACACUACUGAGAUGCCACUGAGGCAACACGCUACCGCCAAACUGGACCACCACCCUGCCCUGCUGCAACCCCUCCAACCUCACUGGGGCAUACCAAUGCUUUCUUUCCUCUGUCUCUCAUCACAUCUCCUUGUUCUGGCCAGUUUUUCUAAAACUCCAACCCUUUUUUUGCCCAGUUGUUUCUCACCGCUCCUGUGAGUCUCAUCAUGCAUCGUCAGCUGACAUUGAAGAAGAGAGCCUGGCAUUAGAGCUUCCUCCUUCACUUUUGUUGGCUUUCUUUACCGAGAUCUUCCUUUUUUUAUUAAAGUGGACAUUAAUGUGUACUUGUUUAUAUUGUUUUUUUUUCUCUUUUUCGUUAAUGCCUGUUUUUGUACUCAUGUGGAGAUCUGUCAUAGAGGGAAUAUUUUACUUGAAUUAGUGCUAAUAGGCAUCCAAAACCGAAGGGAUCCGACUGAGACACUCGCCUGGAUUGUGUGUGUGUGUGUGUGUGUGUGUGUGUGUGUGUGUGUGUGUGUGUGUGUGUGUGUGUGUGUGUGUGUGUGUGUGUGUGUGUGUGUGUGUGUGUGUGUGUGUGUGUGUGUGUGUGUGUGUGUGUGUGUGUGUGUGUGUGUGUGUGUGUGUGUGUGUGUGUGUGUGUGUGUGUGUGUGUUUUGUUUGGCUCUUGGACUUGUCUGACUGUACAGUAGAGUCCAUCGUCUGUGUGCUCUUUGUUGAGGACACUCCUGUUAAAGAAUGCAAGACUGAAAGGGAAGGAGAUGGGGGAUGUCCAUCUGAGUCCUAAUCAUUAAAACUAAUCAAUCCAUGGCCUAACUAAA